rnacentral:misc_RNA from 1 species
GAUGAAGAACGUAGUGAAAUGCGAUAAGUAAUGUGAAUUGCAGAGUUCAGUGAAUCAUCGAAUCUUUGAACGCACAUUGCGCCCGCCAGUAUUCUGGCGGGCAUGCCUGUCCGAGCGUCAUUUCAACCCUCGAACCCCUCCGGGGGGUCGGCGUUGGGGAUCGGCCCUUUACCGGCCGGCCCCGAAAUACAGUGGCGGUCUCGCCGCAGCCUCUCCUGCGCAGUAGUUUGCACACUCGCACCGGGAGCGCGGCGCAGUCCAAUGCCGUAAAACACCCAACUUUCUGAAAUGUUGACCUCGGAUCAGGUAGGAAUACCCGCUGAACUUAAGCAUAUCAAUAAGCGGAGGA